rnacentral:lncRNA from 1 species
UGGCUAGGAUGAAAAAUUUUGUCCUGCAUUUUUUUUUAGCUGUAAUCUCUGUCCUGCCUUUUUAUUUUUCACUCUGUUCGGUCCUGCCUUUUUUUUUUUUUUAGUUUAUCCUGACUUUUUUUACCUAAAUUGUCGUCCUGACUUUUUUUUUUGCAAGUGUCUCAUCCUGCCUUUUUUUUUUUAUUCAAAACUCCUGUCCUGCCUAUUUUUUUCAAAUUUCAUCCUAGCCCCCCCCCCC